UACGUAGGGUGCAAGCGUUGUCCGGAAUUAUUGGGCGUAAAGAGCUCGUAGGCGGUCUGUCGCGUCGGCUGUGAAAUCCCGAGGCUCAACCUCGGGUCUGCAGUCGAUACGGGCAAACUAGAGUAUUGCAGGGGAGACUGGAAUUCCUGGUGUAGCGGUGAAAUGCGCAGAUAUCAGGAGGAACACCAGUGGCGAAAGCGACUUUCUGGGACAUUCCUGACGCUGAGGUUCGAAAGCUCGGGGAGCAAACAGG
rnacentral:rRNA from 1 species